CACACAUUCAGCCUCACCCUCUCAUCUCUCUCUCUCUCAGACUCCCUCUGUCCGCCUGCCGUUCAACGCGGCCGCCACCGCCGCCGCCGCCGCCGGCGAGCGGCGCGGCUGCUGCCUCUCGCUCCUCCCCUGAACUCUCGUCCUCUCUCACCCUCUCGCCUCUAUCUAUCUAUCUGCCGUACACAGGACGCACGCCGCUGUCAAAGCGGUGCGCCGCCGCCGGUGCCUCCGUCGUCCUCGCGGCAGAUCCGCUACCGCGUCAAGACCACGGCCACCGCCUUUCCUCCCCUCCCUCUAUCUCUCUCUCUCUCCCGUCUCAAUUCUUUCCCUGGAAACAGACGCACGGACACAGCCCCUGCUGUGCCGCCGCCUCCUCUCCUUCGCCGGUGGGCUCACGGCCAGGAGCCGUCGAUCGCCGACAGCCAGGUAAACCCUAACUUCUUUCAUUUUCCCCUUCUUUCCUUUUUAGAUUAAAACUGAAAACUCCUCUCUCUCUCUUUUGAUUUGGCUGAAUCGGAGCAACGGCGACGUCACGGCUGUCACGUUACCGCCGCCGCCGACGACGACGAGCCACCAUGGCUCCGCCGCUGACCGCCGUCUGAAAACAGAUCGGAAGCCACCGCGGCUCCGUCGCCGUCCGUUGACCGCCGGCAACGACGAGUCACCAAGGCUGCCGCCUCCUUCUGAUCUCGACUCACACACACAAGGCAGGGUCAGCCCCCCCUUCAAAGGUUUCAAGCCUCAAAUUCAGUCGAACACUUAGCACAUAGGAUUUGAGCAAAAAUCAAAUACUGUAAAUUUCAGUUCAUACGUUAAUACAUGUAAAUUUUUCUUUUGGAUCAUUCUCGUUUGGUGGUUCUCUGAUAUAUUGGAUAAAAGGGGAAUACCUUGAAUA